GGUACAGGAGAAGAGUGC
rnacentral:misc_RNA from 1 species